CGGCGGACGGGUGAGUAAUGCGUGGGAAUAUGCCCUUUGGUACGGAAUAGCCCCUGGAAACGGGGAGUAAUACCGUAUGUGCCCUACGGGGGAAAGAUUUAUCGCCAAAGGAUUAGCCCAUGUUGGAUUAGCUAGUUGGUGAGGUAAGAGCUCACCAAGGCGACGAUCUAUAGCUGGUUUGAGAGGAUGAUCAGCCACACUGGGACUGAGACACGGCCCAGACUCCUACGGGAGGCAGCAGUGGGGAAUAUUAGACAAUGGGCGCAAGCCUGAUCUAGCCAUGCCGCGUGAGUGAAGAACGCCCUAGGGUUGUAAAGCUCUUUCAGAUGUGAGGAUGAUGACAGUAACAUCAGAAGAAGCCCCGGCUAACUUCGUGCCAGCAGCCGCGGUAAU
rnacentral:rRNA from 1 species